UCCUAAUUUUUCUAAGCCCAGAACCGUUUCAUGUUUUCUGCGAGACCUUUCAUCUUCCUUAUCUUCGUUCUUCCUCCUCACGAUCAAUCAAUCCUCUCCCCACACCUUAAUGCUCUUUAAUCAAUCCUGUUGCUGUAUAUUUCACUGACAUCUCCUCGGCCAGUCCUAUGGAGAUCUGCUCAGUCCUCAAAGCUUUGAGCGUCUGCUUAUCGGACGAACAGCAAUGGCAACACAAAGAAGAGGAGGAGCUUUUUUGAGAGUGCUAUUGAGGUACGAGAGAGAGCAAAGUGUGAAGGUGGAGAGAGAGAAGCUGCUAGGAUGUGUCUUCAAAGCGUUGUUUAGAUCAGGCAUACUGUGGUGACAAGGCUCUGGCAUUUUUAGGAGGCAAGGAAUGUGAAGAAAGGUGAGGAGCGUAUGGGUGUCGUUAUGGUGUUAAUUGAUGAUAAGGCUAUCCUAAUUCAUGGUUCUAUUAGCGUACAUAGUACUGAUUUUGUUGCACAAUUUCAGGUUCUCUGACUUCAUCCAUUGAUGUAUCUUGGUGGCAGGAGCUCUAUAAGCAGUUGAAAAGGAAUAACUUUCUUGAGUAUAGGCUCCUGAAAGUGCUCCCAGUGAAGAAGCAGCCAUAACAACAACACCACAGUGUUUCCAAGACAUUGUUGGACGCCUAUUCAACUGGAAUGAAGACCUCCACCACUCCGAUAUCGGAAAGAUUAAAUGACAUAUAUAGGAACCUAUGUCGGAUGAGUUGUUUAAGUGUUUAUCAAUACCUGGUUGUGAAUGUUUUCGUUGGUGCGGAUGGAUUCAACUUCUUCUUAUGAUCAGAAUGAUGAAAUGCUUGACGAUUAGAUUCAAGGAGAAGAAGCUUCAGAACUUUGUCUUGCUGGAAAGAGAAGAAAAAAAUUGAAAGAUCAAGCUCUGCUCUUCUACCAAAACCAAGGUAAUUAAUUGCUCAUAGAGCAAAGGUAUGGGAACUAUUUAUCCAAAAAAGAAGAUGAUCCUUUGCAAUGCAAUUGUUAAUUCUGUGAAUUUUCAGAAGCUGAAAGUAGCACUUGAAACAUGUACGUGUUCUCCACGUGAAUAACUGAAUGUAUUUUGGUUCCUUUUGUA